ensembl:lncRNA
AAUGUUUUUCAAAGUGUAGGAGCCUCAGUGUCACAUCUGUAAGGGAUGUUCUGAAAUUAGUGGGGCCUGUGCCUGGAUGACUGGCAGGUGUUGCUGGAAUUCAAUAAGAGGAAGAAACGGCCAGGGAUACUAAAUAUCCUACAUCGCAUAGGACAGUCCCACGCAAGGAAGAAAUAUUCCACUUCAAAUACAAGUAUCAGCCCUAUUUGGAAAGAAAGUAUCUGAGGACCCUUGCCUGGAAAGAAUGAAAGGGUGAGAAAAAGAGCAGUUUAAAGAUUGAAGGUUGGAGAAAAUAAUGCAAAGGAAGAGAUGUCAUGAGUUUGGUUUUUCUUUUCUUUGAAAGGCCAAGAAAUCCAGCUAUUUAUGAGUCCUAUAUUCAGAAAUAAGCCCCACCAGAACAUGAAUUUUCCAUAAGGCCACCUCAUCCAUCCCUCUAUCCUGUUAGAACCAGCUGAGUGGUUGCCUGCCUUCUGCUUGCAUACCACCAGUCAUAGGGAGCUUACCAUCUUCCUUCAUGGCAGUUCCUUCCAUCUUCAGCCACCUCUGAGCCUUAAGGUCAACAUCGCCUCAUAGGGUAAUCCCUCACACUUCAGAGAGUUCAUGGCAGGCCAGGCCUUUUCUCCAGACAGCCCCUCCCUGCUCCUUCUACAACCAGGUUCCCAGGGCCUGACCUGCCCGAGCCACUCCCUCUUCCCCUGUCUCCACAAGGCCUAGAGGGGAGCAGGGUUUCCACAAGCGAUCUGACCAAUACCUGCCCUCUGCCAGAGCACCCUAGCCUCUCAAGGUUGCCAGGCCUUUCUAGACCAGGGAUCCAAGUUGGGGUCCAGCAACUGCCCACCAUGGCAAGUGACACUUGGCACAGUUGGCAGGCACCAUGGUGGGGGAAUCAGAGUGGUGCGCCCUUGGAUGGAUGACAAGGGUCACACAAGCCCAUGCCAACUCACAAGCAGCACAUGUAUGCUCGUACUCAUGUAUGGGUACACCCAGGGCAUUCCCAGAGGCAGCAGCUUCAAGGACAAACCAGAGAAAUAAGAGCAUCUCCCAACCUAAACUGGCACCCAGAUACCACCCUCAAGACCCAUGCUUCCCCACCCCACUGCCCCAAAGCUGCCCAUUGAUCAUCUAUUUCUCCCCACAUACUUCGAAUGAUGAAAGGAUUGCGCUUACGCGCAGGAAGUAUUUCCAUCCUUUGCAUAGGAAAUAUUUCGAUCUCUGCUCUCGAGAAAGCUACCUCUUAUAUGGAGUUGAAGCACUUGGUCUGAAGCUAAACUCCAAACUGGUCAUUGUCAGAACAUGAACUCAUAGAACAUGACUAUGACAUCGCUGAGUGACAGAGAUCCAAGAUGGCUCCCUGCUCCUCCCCAUCCCCCCAGCCGCCUACCCACCAAUGGAGGUUCCUCACAGCCAGAUUUUCUCCUUAAUACCCACCUAUGUGCGGCAACAUGCCUGAGCAGGGCCUGUGGCCCAGUGGGCUCCUGCCUCAGCAGAAACUUUCAUGUACAUGUAUUGCAUGUCUACUAAUAAGUAACAGAAGGGAGAUGAGAUGGAGUGGGAGGUAAGGCUGGAAGAAAGGGACAAGAUAGAGGCUUUGGGCUCUGUCACUGACUUCCUGGCAUGCCUUUUCACCUGUCACCUGAGGGCUCUGAGCUUUAGUGUCCUCUAUCAAAGGAGAUUCCACCUGCCUCAUCCACCCAGACCACUGCCAGUCUUGGUGGUGAGGGAGACUGAAUGAAAACAGUCUGCUUGUCACCAAAGGCCAACCAGGAGAGGCCUAAAGACUAGUUUGGAAGGUGUAAAAAAAAAAAAAAAAA